CAUGUGGGCACCCUGUUUGAUUCUUAAGCCUAGCCGGGAGCCAGUUAAAGCCAUUCGGUCGUGUGUGUGCUCACUCGCUCACUUGGCCCUGUUUCUUCACAGCAGAGUACAGUCAAAAAGCCUUCAUCCCAUGGCUUUAAAUCAUCACCCUUGUGAAAACAACACCUACAGGCCCCUAAAUACGUUUCCCUCCAUUGGUCAGUCGUAAUAUAUGUACUGAGGGUAAUAAACGGGAAGGACAGCUUCCGCAGACGCUGCCUAAAAGGUCACCUACCCUACGGUAUGGGAUUUGAAAAACAUGACACUACAGGUGAGCCACGGGCAAGGCUGUUGUUAUGACACAAUCAUGUGUCAUGCGACGAAAGCAGUCAUUAGGGAACGUCCCGACGAGCAUACGUACACGGUUGCCUAAUGACUUGCUGCACCACGGCAUUUUACAGUCACUGGUGCAAUCUCUGUUUACCAGGAAGCUGCAAUUACUUCAAAGCCACAAACAAACAAGGCACCAGCCACUUACCAGUAUGGGAUUGGUGGAGAACUGGAUCUUCCUCCGCAGCGGUGGUUCGUCCUCGUCUGACAGCCCAGGAGCCUCUUCAUAGUAAUCCUCAUAUUCCCCUGGAUGUCCAUCCUCUCUGUACUCUUCCUCAUCCUCCUCUUCCUCCUCUGGGUCUUCCCUGAGGACUUGGUCUACGUCCCUGUCGUCGUCAAACGCCGCGUUCUCGAUCCCGUACACCCCGGGGGAGACCCGGCCCUCGUCCCGCCGUCCCCCUUGCUCUUCCUGUUCGCCCUGUUCGCCCUCUUCCUCACCCCCCCCCUCCUCCUCUUCCUCCUCCGCAACUUCCUCUUCCUGUCUGCCUUCCUCUUCCGCCCUCCGCCUCGAAGCCUCUCCCCUCGGCUCCUCUGAAACCUUCUUCUCCUGCACCUCCUCCGCCGACGCUCUCCUGAUAUCCGCUUCCUCCAGGGAGGGUCGGAGCUCCCUCCCCCCCUCCCUCACCCCGCCGGACCCCCCGGGGCCGCGGCCGAGGCGAUCCGCCGACGCCGAAUGAGUGACGGCGUUGGCGGCGGCGUCGCCUCUCGGACCAUGCGGCGCUUUCCCCUCCUCAAACACGCUAUCUUCAUCCUCGUUUCCUUCACUGUCCGACGACUCGUUCUGGACCACCACCAGCUCCGCCCGCACCACGCCCCGGGACCCCGGCAGGGGUGCGGCACCCGGAGGGCUUGUCCCUGGGGGGGCUCAGACCUCCAGGUCCACCCCCGACCCCGCCGUCCGACCGCUUGGUGACGGUGCCUUGGGAGCUGAUGGCGGCCGACGGCGCAGAGUUCUGCUUCUGGUCUCUGUGGGGCAGGGCGGAGGUCCGGCCCAGGAGGACGUCCCCCCUAGCAGGGGGGGAUCCGACGCCCUCCCUGGAGGACGGCUUGUAGCCUGACCCGGGGGGCGGGGUCUGCUCGGGGGGGGCGGGCUUAUGCGUGGACUCUGUCGUCACAGAGCUGGGUCUGCUGGCUGCGGUUGUGGACGUUAACGUUGUUUUGAGGGUCGCCGUGACCACUGGGGACGUGACUUUGGUCGCCGCGUUGGCACUCGGGGAUGUGCACUUGUUGUGGGUGUCGCCGGCUGGCGGAGAGUUGGUGCUGGUUGGCUCUUUCCCAGCGGGGGGCGCCGCCGCCGCCGUGCUGGCUUUGGCGCCGGCUCUAGUGGGGUCGUCGCCGUCGCUGCUGCCCGUGUAGCUGUCCAAGCGUCGGGAGAUGGGGCCGGCGUUCAGCGAGGCCCGGGACGCGGGCUUCCCCUUCCCCUCCGCGUCCGCCUUCUCGUCUGGUUGGUGUUUGCUCGCCGGCGUGGAGGUCUGCUCUGGUCUGAGGCUGCUCUCCGAGACUCUCCUUGAAGCCUUUCCAUCGUCGGGCGCGCUGCCCAGGGACACUCGGGUCACGGUCCGGGUGGUGGCCUUGUCGGAGGCGGGCGGGUCUUUGAUUCCUCUUUCAAAGAGCUUUCUGGUGGAGGAGAACUUCUGCGCCAGAGCCACUUUGUCAAUCUCCACAUCUUCUCCUUUGGGGGGUUUAUCUAAACUGUGUGAUGGCUCUGGGCUGGUCGCGUUGCUGAAAUUAGUUUUUUGUGUGCCCACAGGAAACUGCACUUUAGUUGGGGCUAUGGGAGGCAGUGGAAUCUCCGUUUUUAACGAUGUCUUGGCUACUUCUUGAGGCUCUUGUUGGCCAUCCAUCUGCAGGAAUAUGUUCUUGAUCUUGUUCACCCGAUUGCCGAAGGGCCUCCCCCUCGAGUCCUCCCUGGUAUCACUUGAGCCAUUUGCAUAUGACUUAGUAGCGCCAUCCGAUUUUGUCCCAUCGAAAUUGCAUUUUAUGGCAUGGAAGUCCGACUUGUAUGCGUUUCUAUGGGGCGACGCGCUCCGCAGCGUCCUGUCCCCUUUACUCUCGGCUUUCAGCAUUUUCCUCAGAUGUAGUUCGCAGUCCAAUCAGAGAUGAUGUGCCCGCGGUGAAAAUGAAACCGCGGUUUUGGUUAAAGUGAGGUUGGUAUUCCCCGAUUUGUUGGUAAAGAUCUUUCCCUCCUUUAUGCGCAACCGGGUCCGGCGUAGCCUCGUCGGAGCGUUUACUCACCACUGUCCAGCAUCUCACCUCCCAUUGGUUUCAUCGUGCUGGGCACCGAACGAUUGUCCUUUUUGGCGUCCAAUGUACACUACAAAAGUUGUCCCUUCUUCUUCACCGCCAUCAUUCCCUACUCCAACGCUUCCCUGCCUCCUCCUUGUACUCUGCAGAGUAGACCUGUCGCGAUGCGUGCGCACUCAUGGCCGGGCGCGCCCCCACGGGAUCCGACAUGUCGGGGACGCGCACACAUUCCAGGGCUGUGUUAUUGACCCCCCGGCCCCUUUUUCC
ensembl:lncRNA